rnacentral:rRNA from 1 species
CUCAGUUCGGAUUGGAGUCUGCAACCCGACUCCAUGAAGCUGGAUUCGCUAGUAAUCGCGCAUCAGCCACGGCGCGGUGAAUACGUUCCCGGGCCCUUGCACACACCGCCCGUCAAGCCAUGGAAGCCGGGAGUGCCUGAAGUGCGUGAGCGCAAGCAGCGCCCUAAGGUAAAACCGGUGACUGGGGCUAAGUCGUAACAAGGUAUC